AGUUAUUUCGCAACCUUCAUCUGUUCCUGGAAGAUACCCGUAGCCUGACUUCCUUCUUGACAGGCUGAUUUAGGGGUGCUCCCCAAGAAGAUCAGGACUGCUGAAAGAAUGAAGAAGAACCUCCUUGGCCCAGGAUGUGGAUAGAGAACAGAGCGCACUUUCACUUACCUGGCAAGGUGGUUUUGGAAGUUUCCACGGAAGCCUGCCCAGGGCCGCUGCUGCCCGUCCUCGCCUAGGUGUGGAGCUUCCCAACCGGCUGGGGAGGGAAUGUCCUGCGGGAGCCGCCGAGGACCCUCUUUAGCCUCUUCCCUGGCUUGGCUGCAGCUGCAGUCUGGUAUUUGCCCAUUCUGCUCUUCUUCACCUCCGUAUUGUCUCUCUCAUGGAAGAAGAAUUCCAUUCUCCCAUCCUAGGAAGGAGAGUGCCCUGCGUGCCACGAAAGAGCCCAGGACCCACAGGACAGAUAAGUCACUGACAGACCUGCCUUCGCCAGCGCCAGUCCAUCUCUGAAACCUCCAGCAUUUGUGCCCCGGACCGGCCCCUCCCAGGCCUGACUUUCCGUGAACGGUCACUGCGCAGGAUCGAGCUACAAUGAAGAGGAGGGAGGCAGUCUGCACGCACCGCCAUUUUCUAGGAACUGGGAAGCCCCCCCACCCCUUAGGAAGAUCCAUCCCUGUGGAACCUUGCCAAGGCUUACCAGCCUUUGCUGAGCUUGAUCUAUUGUCCCUCCUUGUCCCCAUCAAAAUAUCCAGCACUCCACCUUCAGGGAGUAGACUUGACCCUCAAAUAGCAAGUUCAGCCUUCCCAGGUCUAGGUUCCCUGGGAGGUCAAGAUUCGUCUGGUUCCUUAGUACAGAGGGCUAGCUGUGAGUUGGAAUCCCCCUAUGAGCUUUAGAAUCAGUCAAGAGAAACUGGGCCCCUUCCCUUCAUCCCUCUUCUUUUCCCUUUUUGUCCCAGAGCUCAGCUCUGACUCAAAGUUUUUCCAUUUACCAUCAACAUGGAAACUUGGCUCCUCACAUGCCUAUAUUAUCCCCCUUUUGCACAUGGUCUUGUUGAUCAAAACUCCCUUUCUGUGAAAGAGGCCUGUGGGGCUCAAGAAGCCUGGUCAGCCAGCCAGGCUAGUCCCACAUACCUCAGAACCAGUUUAAUAAAGGCUCUAUGUCAUU
rnacentral:antisense_RNA from 1 species